rnacentral:rRNA from 1 species
AUUGAACGCUGGCGGCAGGCUUAACACAUGCAAGUCGAACGAGUGGCGGACGGGUGAGUAAUGCUUGGGUUUCCAGCUUAUGGAGGGGGAUAACUACGGGAAACUGUAGCUAAUACCGCGUAUCAUAGGAUGAGCCCAAGUGGGAUUAGGUAGUUGGUUAGGUAACGGCGUACCAAGCCGACGAUCGCUAGCUGGUCUGAGAGGAUGACCGGCCACACUGAGACUGAGACACGGCCCGGAAUCCUACGGGAGGCAGCAGUAGGGAAUAUUGCGCAAUGGGGGCAACCUGACGCAGCCAUGCCGCGUGAGUGAAGAAGGCCUUCGGGUUGUAAAGUUCUUUCGGUAGCGAGGCGUUAACUACAGAGGAAGCACCGGCGAACUCCGUGACAGCCGCCGCGGUAAUUC